rnacentral:rRNA from 1 species
UUUCCGGUUGAUCCUGCCGGAAGACACUGCUAUUGGGGUUCGGCUAAGUCAUGCGAGUCACUGGUCCUUGUGGCCAGGGCGGACCGCUGAGUAACACGUUGCUAACUUGCCCUUAGGAGGGGAAUAACCUCGGGAAACUGAGACUAAUACCCCAUAGGACGCUAUUUCUGGAAGGAUUUGCGUCCCAAAGCUUCGGCGCCUAAGGAUAGGGCAGCGGUGGAUUAGGCUGAUGUUAAGGUAAAAGCUUAACAUACCUAUAAUCCAUAGGGGCUGUGAGAGCAGUAGCCCCCAGAUGGGUUCUGAGGCACUAACCCAGGCCCUACGGGGCGCAGCAGAUACGAAAACUCCACAAUGCGCGCAAGCGUGAUGGGGGAACCUCAAGUGCUGGCGCAAAGCGUCAGCUUUUCUGGAGCUUAAAUCACUCCAGGAAUAAGUGGUGGGCAAUACCGUUGCCAGCCGCCGCGGUAAUAACGGAGCCACAAGUGGUGUCCACUUAUACUGGGUCUAAAGCGUUCGUAGCCGGUUAGGCAAGUCUCUUGUGAAAUCCCGCAGAAAACUGCGGGGCGUGCAGGAGAUACUGCCAUGCUAGGGACUGGGAAGAGUCGGGAGUACUCCUGGGGUAGCGGUAAUAUGCUUUAAUCCCAGGGGGACUACCUGUGGCGAAGGCGCCCGACUGGAACAGAUCCGACGGUGAGGGACGAAAGCCAGGGGAGCAACCCGGAUUAGAUACCCGGUUAGUCCUGGCCGUAAACGAUGCCCGCUUGGUAUUGGAGACCCUCCGAGGGUUUCCAGUGCCUAAGGGAAGCCUUUAAGCGGGCCACCUGGGAAGUACGGUCGCAAGGCUGAAACUUAAAGGAAUUGGCGGGGGAGCACUACAAGGGGUGCGGCCUGCGGUUUAAUUGGAUUCAACGCCGGA